ensembl:snoRNA SNORD28 Small nucleolar RNA SNORD28
GUCAGAUGAUUUGAAUCAAUAAACUGAUGCUCCGUGAAGUAUGACGGUUAUAGCAUGUUAGAGUUCUGAUGGCA